GUGCAGCAGUCGAGAAUUUUCUCAAUGGGGGCAACCCUGAAGGAGCGACGCCGCGUGGAGGAUGAAGGCUUUCGGGUUGUAAACUCCUGUCAUUUGAGAACAAGUGUGGGCAAGUAACUACUGCCUACUUGAUAGUAUCAGAAGAGGAAGAGACGGCUAACUCUGUGCCAGCAGCCGCGGUAAUACAGAGGUCUCAAGCGUUGUUCGGAUUCAUUGGGCGUAAAGGGUGCGUAGGUGGCGCGCUAAGUCAGGUGUGAAAUCUCGGGGCUUAACUCCGAAACUGCAUUUGAUACUGGCGUGCUUGAGGACUGGAGAGGAGACUGGAAUUCAUGGUGUAGCAGUGAAAUGCGUAGAGAUCAUGAGGAAGACCAGUGGCGAAGGCGGGUCUCUGGACAGUUCCUGACACUGAGGCACGAAGGCCAGGGGAGCAAACGGGAUUAGAUACCCCGGUAGU
rnacentral:rRNA from 1 species